UACGUAGGUGGCAAGCGUUGUCCGGAUUUACUGGGCGUAAAGGGCGCGUAGGCGGCCCACUAAGUCAGGCGUGAAAUCCCCCGGCUUAACCUGGGAACUGCGUCUGAUACUGGAGGGCUUGAGUAUGGGAGAGGGAUGUAGAAUUCCAGGUGUAGCGGUGAAAUGCGUAGAUAUCUGGAGGAAUACCGGUGGCGAAGGCGGCAUCCUGGACCAUUACUGACGCUGAUGCGCGAAAGCUAGGGGAGCAAACGGG
rnacentral:rRNA from 1 species